CCACCACGAACGUGAACAGAAAGAAAUCGAAGACGAAAUCCGACGCGAACGGAAGUUCAAAUCUGCCUCCAUAAUCGCCACCAAUUCCGGCAACGACGCAUCCACCUGCUCGUCUGAUAACGAAACCUUCAAGUCCUUUGGAACCCCUUCUCUCCUUCUCGCUUUUCUAUCCCUGGCAAGGCUUCAAAAUACUCCAAAAAAUUUAACCCUGAUGAUACUUUUUCCGAUGCUCAUCCAGCGUUCCGUCGAUUCUCCAGAAGAAGUUUAAAGAUUCCC